rnacentral:rRNA from 1 species
GGGUGACUGCGUACCUUUUGUAUAAUGGGUCAGCGACUUAUAUUCUGUAGCAAGGUUAACCGUAUAGGGGAGCCGCAGGGAAACCGAGUCUUAACUGGGCGUUAAGUUGCAGGGUAUAGACCCGAAACCCGGUGAUCUAGCCAUGGGCAGGUUGAAGGUUGGGUAACACUAACUGGAGGACCGAACCGACUAAUGUUGAAAAAUUAGCGGAUGACUUGUGGCUGGGGGUGAAAGGCCAAUCAAACCGGGAGAUAGCUGGUUCUCCCCGAAAGCUAUUUAGGUAGCGCCUCGUGAACUCAUCUUCGGGGGUAGAGCACUGUUUCGGCUAGGGGGUCAUCCCGACUUACCAACCCGAUGCAAACUACGAAUACCGAAGAAUGUUAUCACGGGAGACACACGGCGGGUGCUAACGUCCGUCGUGAAGAGGGAAACAACCCAGACCGCCAGCUAAGGUCCCAAAGUCAUGGUUAAGUGGGAAACGAUGUGGGAAGGCCCAGACAGCCAGGAUGUUGGCUUAGAAGCAGCCAUCAUUUAAAGAAAGCGUAAUAGCUCACUGGUCGAGUCGGCCUGCGCGGAAGAUGUAACGGGGCUAAACCAUGCACCGAAGCUGCGGCAGCGACACUAUGUGUUGUUGGGUAGGGGAGCGUUCUGUAAGCCGUUGAAGGUGGCCUGUGAGGGUUGCUGGAGGUAUCAGAAGUGCGAAUGCUGACAUAAGUAACGAUAAUGCGGGUGAAAAACCCGCACGCCGGAAGACCAAGGGUUCCUGUCCAACGUUAAUCGGGGCAGGGUGAGUCGACCCCUAAGGCGAGGCCGAAAGGCGUAGUCGAUGGGAAACAGGUUAAUAUUCCUGUACUCGGUGUUACUGCGAAGGGGGGACGGAGAAGGCUAUGUUGGCCGGGCGACGGUUGUCCCGGUUUAAGCAUGUAGGCGGAUGUUCCAGGUAAAUCCGGAACGUUACUAACGCUGAGGUGUGAUGACGAGGCACUACGGUGCUGAAGUGACAAAUGCCCUGCUUCCAGGAAAAGCCUCUAAGCAUCAGGUAACAUCAAAUCGUACCCCAAACCGACACAGGUGGUCAGGUAGAGAAUACCAAGGCGCUUGAGAGAACUCGGGUGAAGGAACUAGGCAAAAUGGUGCCGUAACUUCGGGAGAAGGCACGCUGAUGGUAGGUGAAGCGACUUGCUCGUGGAGCUGAAAUCAGUCGAAGAUACCAGCUGGCUGCAACUGUUUAUUAAAAACACAGCACUGUGCAAACACGAAAGUGGACGUAUACGGUGUGACGCCUGCCCGGUGCCGGAAGGUUAAUUGAUGGGGUUAUCCGUAAGGAGAAGCUCUUGAUCGAAGCCCCGGUAAACGGCGGCCGUAACUAUAACGGUCCUAAGGUAGCGAAAUUCCUUGUCGGGUAAGUUCCGACCUGCACGAAUGGCGUAAUGAUGGCCAGGCUGUCUCCACCCGAGACUCAGUGAAAUUGAACUCGCUGUGAAGAUGCAGUGUACCCGCGGCAAGACGGAAAGACCCCGUGAACCUUUACUAUAGCUUGACACUGAACACUGGUCCUUGAUGUGUAGGAUAGGUGGGAGGCUUUGAAGUGUGGACGCCAGUCUGCAUGGAGCCAUCCUUGAAAUACCACCCUUUAAUGGCUGGUGUUCUAACGUGGGCCCGUAAUCCGGGUUGCGGACAGUGUCUGGUGGGUAGUUUGACUGGGGCGGUCUCCUCCUAAAGAGUAACGGAGGAGCACGAAGGUCAGCUAAUCCUGGUCGGACAUCAGGAGGUUAGUGCAAUGGCAUAAGCUGGCUUGACUGCGAGCGUGACGGCGCGAGCAGGUGCGAAAGCAGGUCAUAGUGAUCCGGUGGUUCUGAAUGGAAGGGCCAUCGCUCAACGGAUAAAAGGUACUCCGGGGAUAACAGGCUGAUACCGCCCAAGAGUUCAUAUCGACGGCGGUGUUUGGCACCUCGAUGUCGGCUCAUCACAUCCUGGGGCUGAAGUAGGUCCCAAGGGUAUGGCUGUUCGCCAUUUAAAGUGGUACGCGAGCUGGGUUUAGAACGUCGUGAGACAGUUCGGUCCCUAUCUGCCGUGGGCGCUGGAGAAUUGAGGGGGGCUGCUCCUAGUACGAGAGGACCGGAGUGGACGCAUCACUGGUGUUCGGGUUGUCAUGCCAAUGGCAUUGCCCGGUAGCUAAAUGCGGAAGAGAUAAGUGCUGAAAGCAUCUAAGCACGAAACUUGCCCCGAGAUGAGUUCUCCCUGACUCCUUGAGAGUCCUGAAGGAACGUUGAAGACGACGACGUUGAUAGGCCGGGUGUGUAAGCGCAGCGAUGCGUUGAGCUAACCGGUACUAAUGAACCGUGAGGCUUAACCUU